rnacentral:lncRNA from 1 species
UUUUGGCGUGGAGGGGAGAUUUGUUCUUUUGUUUUCUGUAGUAAAUCUUGCUGCUGCUGGAUCUUUGGGUCUGUGCUGCGUUUGUGAGUUGUAACACGGUUUAGAGGUCUACAGAUUCACUCUUGAAGCUAGCGAGACUAUAAAUCUAUUGGGAGAGACAAAGAACUCUGGAUGUGCUGCCUUUAGGAGCUGUGAUGCUUACCGCGGAAGUUUGCAGCUUCACUCCUGAAAUCAGUGAGACCACGAACCGCACCAGAAGGAGCAAACUCCACACUAUUUUUAAGAACCGUAACAUUCACCGCGAGGGUCCACGGUUUCAUUCUUGAAGUCAGCGAGACUAUAGAACCCACCAAGUUCUGGACACAAAACCACCCCAAAAUACUUUCUCAUCUAUUCCGUUGGUCUGCCUAUCUAAAAAGCAAAAUUUCAAAUACUGACACCAAUAGAUGAAGACACUUUAGCUUCUUCCCUGUUUCAUCCAGUUGGGGGCUAAGUGUCCUUCGGUUUGGACUGUGCAGCUUGGGUCACCUUCUCUCUGUAGAAGAGCAACUGAAGAGGCAGAGCCGUGUGUUCCAAACCACUCAAACAAUUGAGAAAGUGGGAACCCAUUAUUCCCCAAGCCCAGCCAGCAAACCUCACCGAUGUAACAGAUAAGCACUUCCUGCAGGUGGGGCUGACACUGGCCAGGACACAGCCCUCUCUCUCACAGCAGUGUUCCAGGUUGUUCGUGCACAAAAUUUCACAAAGGUCAGAGCUCGUCUCUCCAAACAGAUGAGCUUUGCGGUUAACCUGAAUUCACUGAACUGGGAUUUAUUAUUACUAUUAUUCUAUUUUACCUCUAACAGAAGUUUAAGGUCCGUGUAAGUCUCGUUCCUUUCUCUGACUGUAGGGGAGACGCCCGGUGCGCCGUUUGGAGGGGAGAACCUGGCCUCCUUUCCUUAUCAUCUUUUCAGGUACCCAACUCCUAGCAAAUGUGUCUUCCUCCCGGGUUCUUUGGGGUAAAGAAUUUGGUGAGAAGGAGCUGAAUGUUACAGCUGCACUUCUCAGACACCUGCUCAGAGCCAAGCGUCCUCUCACCCUUUCUUUCAACUGGUAGCCAGAAAAUACGGGCUGAGCAUCAGGGAUUCUCAACUUUGUCAGCUCCAGCCCUGCCUGUUGUGACAGACAUUUCCUGAUGCCUCUUGCUCUCUAGAAUGAAGGUCGUGGGCAAUAUUACCCACACAGCCCCAUUCAAAAUCAAUCGGCUUUGUGACCUUUUGUGAAAGGAUGGUGAUUGCCGUGCCAGCAUGUGACAUGGACUUGGAUGCCUGUGCACACAGGUGCACCUUCCAGAAGGUGAGGUCGGCCCGAGUGCCCACCGCCAUGUGAGUGCACUGAUGCACAAUGACCAGUUGCUGGAAUGUUCUGAACAGAGCCCAGUGCCACCCACUUUGAUGUGUGCUAUUGUCA